AUCAAUUCCCGAAGGACAAGAAAAUUGGAAGACUGUGGUUAAAGGCCAUUUGACGCGAAAAAAGUACUCCCACAAAAAGUUCGAGGUUAUGUCGUAAACACUUUGUGGAAUCUGACUAUGAAAACAUUAGUAAAUACACAGGUGUCAAACAUUAACAUAAAUAUCUGAAGAAAGGUGCUGUACCAUCUAUAUUUUCAUGGAAUAUGAAACCAGUUUCUGAAGAAACAAAAAGUAGAGAAGUUACUUAUGUAAUUUUAGAGAAGGAAUUGUCAAUAAAAAUAAUUAAAAAUA